UGAGUUUCUGUGGAACUUUCUUGUCACACAGGACUCCUGAUGCAAGCCUUCACUUUGACCACCCCGCUCCUAUACGAUGAGUGAUGUCCCCGUCAUAUCUCUCCGUCCCCGUGGAUCACCGACCCAAGAUAACUGACACUGUCCCUCUUGGCGAUGACCUGAGAUUCAAUCAUCACGUCCUUGCCUACUUCGCUCGGCUCGGCGCUAAACUUGCACUCCAGGUAUUCUGUCUU
rnacentral:lncRNA from 1 species